AGCACCAGCUGCGGAGCGCUGCGCAGGAAGGUCUCCAACAGACGUAGCAUGCUCACAUCCGCGCUCUCGAACAGCAUCCGCCAGUAGAAGUGACGCCGCAGCCGCUCCCCACGCCAGCGGCUCUGCAGCCCCAGCUGGUGCCGAUCCGAGUCCUGACCCAUUCACUGCUCCUGGCCUCAGGGAAACUGCUCACCCAACAAACUUCAUGGUUGCUUGGCACAAGCCAUGGACAUUUAAUGGUCCCCCUCACCAUCUGGCUUUUAUACUUCUACUGUUUCUUAUACCUGGAACACCCGCUCCCUGUUUCCACGCCAUUCCCAAACCUGGCCCUCGCCACAGCAGGUUGAGCUUCCUGGCUAGACACACAUCUCCUCCAGCUGUGAGCUCCAGACCAGCGUCUACAUCACCUGCUAAGUACUGCACACGGCUCUUACCACACAGUAGGUGCUCAAUCCACAUGUCCACAGAUGAAUGGAUACAUAGUUGGUAAGUUUGUUGACUUUAAUGGCUCCAACAACCUUGGAGCAGGAAGGGAAGGAUCUAAGGUCUGAGUUCCAUUCCGGAUUCUACUUCUAACUUACUCUCUUGAGUCCCCACUCCUUCUGAAGUAGCUGAGAGGACGGAUGGUAAAGAGUAUUGCCCACAUGGUUCGAGGAACUGAGUCUAGUUUCCCCUCGUGACCACAGAGCCUGUCUCUCCCCAGUUCCCAAAGAACUUUGAUGCAUAUGACUGGUUAGCUCUUUGCCCAAACCUCAGAGGAUUCUCUAAAAGUGGCCUCCCCAGAAAACAGAUGGAGAGUGUCCAACACGGAUCCAGUGACCUAUUGCCUGAACUUCAAACUGAGGCACCAGGGAUGGGAAAGUGCUGGCAUUUCUAGGACACUGAAACCAAGGGACCAACUAUAUAUAUGUUGUGCUGACAGCCUGUGGAAGGAGCCAUGGCCCUGUAGGGCCUCCAUGGUAAUGAGAGGGGUGAGCUUGGUGGCUCUCACUCCUCAGAACUAGUCUUCUAAGUCCUGGGCUCUGUUCCCCAAAAUGUGGCCAAGAACAUGCAACUCGGUGUCCUCUUGGCCCUAAUUAAUGCUACUGACACAUUCCCAAUAUGACACCUGGUAGCCAGGAGGGGAAAGAAGCUUUUCCUUUGGCUGCUGAGUGGCCCAGGACUGGGCUGUGUUUCUUCUGAUGAGUGGUGGUAAGUCAUCUCCCUGUGUCAUCCAUUUUUCUGAGUCUCCUGCUUCUCCCCGUGACUCACGCAUAGGAUCCCUACAGUCAGCACCUUUCAGCCAUAUAGCAGGAGUGCUUCAUUCUAGCUCUGUAUUAGGUUCUUGUCCCUACAUAUCUCACCCUUCCAUGACAGCGAGAUGAAAAGCUUUGUCAAGGAAGAGGAGCAAGCUUUCCUGCAAGAAGUAGUUUCUCCCUCACCCCGUCCUCUCUCUCCUUCUUUCUUUUCUGACAUUAUCUGUGGUAGCCCAGGCUGGUCUAGAACUAAGUAGCUAAGGAUGUCUUUGAACUCCCAGUCCUCUUGCCUCCACCUCUGAGUGCUGGCAUUGCAGGUAUGUGACACCAUGCUAAUUUUUUUGUUUGUUUCGUUUGUUUUUAAGGUAGAUUCUCGUGUAGUCUAGGCUGACCUCAAACUCCUUACUUGGCUCAGGCCUUGAAUUCCUAAUCCUUCUGCCUCCACUCCCCACCUCCCUUCCUAUAGGCACCACCAUCCUGGUUUUGAUUUCAGUUUUAAGUACACGUUGUUUAUAAUCCCAACACGUGGGAGGUUGAGUCUGGAGGACCACAAGUUCAAGUCCAGAUUGGGUUAUGAAAAGAGACUUUGUCUGGAAAAAUGAAAACAAGUCAAAUAAAGUACAAUAAAAACACUAGUGGCGGGGGGGAAGCUGGAGAGAUAGCUCAUUGGUUAGAAGCACUGGCUUCUUUUCCAGUCGAUCUGGGUUCUAAUUCCAGCACCCACAUGAGAGCUCACGGCUGUCUGUUCCUUCAUUUUCAGGAGAUCAAGUGCUUUCUUUUAUGGGCACUAUACUCCCAUGGUGCACAAACAUACUUGCAGAUAAUAUACCCAUGUAGAUAAAAUGCAAAUAAGUAAAUCACACACACACACACACACACACACACACACACACACACACACACACACACACUUGGGGACAGUAAGAGAAGAGGGAUUCAGUAGAAUGGGCAGAUGUGAAGUAAAGAGGCCAUGACAGCCCAUGUCCUUCUGGGCUGAAGUUUGCUGGACUGGGACUAGACAGGAGGCUUCUAAUGAGACAGGGGCUCAGGAAGACCAGAAUUUUCAUAACUCAUCACCUUGAGGAAUUUCAUCAAAUUCUGUAACCAGUUCCAGGCUGCAAGGCUAGGGCUCUGCUCAGUAGCGGAGUGCAUGUUUAGCUGCACAAAGCCCUGGGUUCCAUCCCUGAAAAAAAGAAUCUAGACUGGACAGUAUAGAUUAAAUUUUAAUCCGAAUCCCAGAAUUGGAGGUGAUAGGAUCAGCUCAGAGCUUCAAAAGCACACUCUGAGGGCUGGCUUGGAGGAAAGCCAAGGAGAGGCUGGGGCUGGUCCUCCAGGAUAGUGGUGACAGAGUUGAGCUAAGGGAAGGGUACACCAGGGGGGAAGAGAACAGACCAGGAAGUGGCCAGUGGUGAGGGCUAAGGGGGGAGGAAGGUCUCAGGGCUUCUGGGGGACCCAGAAUACAGAUCUUCACUCUAGGCCUCCACGUCUCCUGCCCUCCUCAUUCCUGAGGCUCUGACUUCGAAUAGAAGGGAGAGGCCAGCUGGUCCAAUGUGCAGGGGCCUGGGGAGCUGGGGAAGAGCAAUACCCUGGAAGUUUCUCCGAAUCUAGAAGACCAUCUGUUUCCGCCCAGGUUAGGAUGAGGGAGGCGCCAGCCCCGCCAGCAUCCGUCACCACCUGGCAGGCCUCCUGCUACCUCCCCGCCCACUCCUCCUCCCUCCUCUGCCAGCUUUCAGCUAAUGGCAGACAAAGGGCUCACAUCAUCCAGACCUGGGAUGGGGAGGGGUGAAAGGAGGUUUGUGCCACCCGUCCACGGAGCUUGGGGGCGUAAGAGAAGCACAGAAACCACACUGCCUAGCCCUUUUGAGCCCAGCCUCACUCUUGUCCUUUUGGCAACAGGACCAAAGCAGUGGUUGCUCCUUCCAGCCAGCGCUCACUACUCGCUGCCAGGGGCCCGUGAGAUGUUGGAGGCUUGUGGGGAAAAUGGACUUUAAAACACGGGGAAAACCUACAGAAUUGAAGUUAAUAAAUGUUUAAUUAAAUGUCUGCA